ensembl:lncRNA
UUCAGAGUGAUUUAGAAACAUUUAUUGAAAUAGAAAGCUGGAGAAUUAAAUGGUAGUCCAAUGGUUAGGGCUGAGCUUCCCCUGUAGCAGCCACAGGUUUGAUCCCUUGUCAGGAAGCUAGGAUCCCAACAGCUCUGCAGGGCAGCAGCCAAUUAAUAGUUGUUUGCUCUUCUAUCCCAUGUGCAUCCAUCUGGCUAACUGCAAGAACAGAGAAGCCAUUUUUAGUCCCCUUUCCAUGUUUCAAUUCUAAUGCCAUUUGGGAUACACAGAAUAUCAGAUCUUUGAACAUCAUCAAGUCAUCAGUGAGAGAGUUCAAGUUGGGCUGAGAUCAUCACAUAUUCUUAAACAAAACAGUACAGUUAUUUUCAAGGCUUACCUGUUAUGUCUGACUGGUAUCAUAAGUGCCCUGAAAAAGACACGAUCAUGUUAAAUCACAGUAAAUGAAAAAAAAAAUGUGAUACUUGUUGCUAAAGUAACCUCAGAAUUAAAAUGGAACGGUUUUUUGGUUGAUAUCAUUCUAUUCAUUUGGCAGAAUCAUCACAUCACUGGUUACCUUAUAACUCAUCAAAAAUACCAGAAAAUAACUUACCUCGAAAUCUUCAGGACAAAACAUCUUUGGUUAGAACCCCUGAUUCCUUGCAUUGUAGUCACUACCUCUCUUCACACCUGCAGAAAUUAAGUUACUUUUAAUAAGUAGUAAUAGAUUUCAAAAUACUAUUGAUAGUGAUUCAAGAUACUGUUUCAGUUUUUUAAAACUUCAUUCUUUUUCAGAGAGAUUCCCAUCUGUUUUAUUAUAAAAAUCAUCACUAACAGUACCUUGCUUAGUAAUUAGAUAAGAUUGAUCUGUCCAACAUCAGAAAACACUAUCAAAGUCAACUACUUGGACCAGCACAUUUCAGAAACAAUAUAAGCCCAAAUGCCAGCAGUCGCUGUUUUCGUGUCUUACCCCAAAGAAGUCAGCCACGUAACAAAACAUGUAGCCAUCAUCUGUAAGGAAAAAGACCUUUUCAUUAAAAUGUCAAUCUUACUGUUAAAUUCUUAAGUAUUUUGUCAAAGGGUUCUUCAGAGUUAGACUUGUCAACACGCUAAUUUCAGGUCAGACAUUUGCUCAACAUCAUUACAAAAACCCUCUCCAUCCUUUUCAUAGCAUGCUCAACAUGCACUUACAAACCAGGCAGAUUAGCUUGGUAGUUAAGCAUUCAACUUCAUCAGCAGUCUCAAACAAUGUUUUUGACAUUAAUACUCACCAAAAAGUCAGGCCAACUGCUUUGGACAGGUCAAGGAUUCAAGUUCACCUAAGAAAUAAGAGUGGUUUUCUAAUAGCCAAAGAAAAAUUUUCUCCCCACAAAUUUUAAAAAUGCCUGACAUCAGAUAGAGCUAAUUAAGACCUUCAUAUUCAGUCAGCAUUUGCUUAUCAUCACACAGGCUGUUUUUAAGAAAGGACAAGGAACUGGCUUUUAUUUAAUGCUUUCCGUAUACUUUUCAAGCAUUUCAAGGUAGGAUUGCUUCCUGUGCAUUGGAAGGCAACCCUAAAAAGUCAUUAGUGGCAUUCUGUCCUGUUUGCCCAGUCACCAAUGUUUAGUUCACUGGAAAUUUUACUUACCUCUUCAACUUCCAGUCAAGACUGCUUAAUGGCUACAAACAAAGAGAGACUAGAUUAGUAGUAGUAGUUUACAUCUACUAUCAGCAAGUUUUACUAACUCAGAUACAUCAGAUAAAAUGGUUUCUCUUUCAUGAUUCAUAUCUGUUGAACUAUGCAACCAUCACAGUAUCUGUUUCUUCAGAUUCCUCUUAGUAUUCACUAUAAUAAAAGAACGCAGAGAUUAACAUUUGAAAAGAAGGGAGAGAAGUCCCUAAUAUAAGCACCAGCAUCUGCCUGGCACUCACUAGUCCCUUUUUGAAAAAAAUUCAUAGUAGUAAGUAAACGGAUUAUAAUUUUAAAAUGGUUUCUCACCUGUCUGCUCAUAGACACAGCACCAAGCUUGAGCUUUAAGACCUGGGAAGAAAGUUUCAUGUCAAGGUAGGUGCAAUUUCUGUGUUCUCUGAACAGCCAUUUCGUGUGCCUCAGUUAGAAUAAUGGUGGUAAGAAUUCUCGUCAUCCUCACAGUCAAGAGUAGCAAAUAAACUCUCAUCAUUGUGGCACGUUCAGUGGACUUUCAACCUAACUUUCCCUUGUGAGGGAAUUUCAGUAACUCACCCCAGCAGUAGUUGUCAUCCUUCUGGUACACAACUAGAAAACAGACAAAAGAGCAUCCAAUGAAAUAUCCUGUGGUGCUAAGCUAAUCAUUGUCUCAAGUAUUUAAGCCUCAGAAUAGAAAUUUUCAGAAAUCCCUUCUGUCCACUACUCUGUAAACCAUCACAGGCUUAAAGACCACAUCUAAAAUUUCAUGCUUCCCACUGUAUUUAGCAGUUUCUUACCUGCCCAACAGAAGCCAUCAAAAUCCACAUUGGAGUCAUGCCUGCCGCGGUUCCUACGAAAGGGUAAUUUUAAAAAUGUAUUUUGUUCUUCUAACUUUUCGUCACUUACAUAUCAUGUACACAAAUCGUUUACACACCCGUAACUCCAUGAGAACCCCACAAAAUUAAGGUUAAGCGAUGACAAAAAUGGUGCAAUGCGAAACGCCGCCAUUUAAAGAACCACGUGGCCUUCCCUAAAACAGAAGACCGAGGAAGGUUCAUUCCCAGGUCAUUAACAAAGACCCACUCGGUGAGUGGGGUUACGCCGCCAUCAGAGCCGUUGGCAUUCAUCAACACUCUCAGAUGUCCCUACCAACACAGGCUUCAUCAGAGGCAGAGCAAACGAGCUGCGGUUUUUUCCGCAGUUAGGCCCUAUAACCAAGAGUAUAAACUAGAUCGUUCCCGCACUCAACUCGCAAUCCACCACCAUCUCAUCUUAGGAGAGCCCUGCGAUGGCCUGCAAGUGGCCUAGGCAUACCAGCCAACUUAAGGAUACCCCAACUGCUAAGGGCUGGAGGACCCAGGCUAACUACUUACUGAGCAGCAAAGAAUAACUCACAGAUACAGCCAGCUCGCAGCCACGAAAGACCGAGAUGGCGGCCAGGCGCCUGUAUAUAAGUAGUCUGCUCCAUGACGUCAUGACGCACACUCUCCGCCAGAGACGGCUUCAGCUCCUCCCCCCCGUAUCAGUCUCCUCCUCUUCUAGCCGCACCCCCGUCCCGUCCUCCAAG